GACGAACGCUGGCGGCGUGCUUAACACAUGCAAGUCGAACGAAGUGGCGAACGGGUGAGUAACGCGUAAUCAACCUGCCCUUCAGAGGGGGACAACAGUUGGAAACGACUGCUAAUACCGCAUACUGAUGGUGGGGAUUGCGUCUGAUUAGCUAGUUGGAGGGGUAACGGCCCACAAUGGCGAGGAUCAGUAGACGGGCUUGUGGGAUUACCGGCCACAUUGGGACUGAGACACGGCUCAGACUCCUCCGGGAGGCAGCAGUGGGGAAUCUUCCGCAAUGGACGAAAGUCUGACGGAGCAACGCCGCGUGAGUGAUGACGGCCUUCGGGUUGUAAAGCUCUGUUCAUCGGGACGCGGUACCGGAAGAGAAAGCCACGGCUAACUACGUGCCAGCAGCCGCGGUAAUUG
rnacentral:rRNA from 1 species